UACGGAGGGUGCGAGCGUUGUCCGGAAUCAUUGGGCGUAAAGGGCGCGUAGGUGGCGGGACAAGCGUGCGGUGAAAGCUCGGGGCUCAACCCCGAGUCGGCCGUGCGAACUGUUUUGCUUGAGCACUGUGGAGGCAGGCGGAAUUCCGGGUGUAGCGGUGGAAUGCGUAGAGAUCCGGAAGAACACCGGUGGCGAAGGCGGCCUGCUGGGCAGUAGCUGACACUGAGGCGCGACAGCGUGGGGAGCAAACAGG
rnacentral:rRNA from 1 species